GAGUGACCUUUGAACUUAGGAGACUGCACCUCCUGCCAACUCUAGGCCUUUUGGAAUAUGACCUUUGUCAUGUUCAUCAUACCUAUGGAGAUCCUUUUGUCUAGUAUCAGCAGCAGACAUCUAAAGAAAAAAUAUAACACAUAUGACUACCAAGAGAUUUCCUGGACCACCCAAGAAUUAAUGACUCUGGAGUGAUUGCUGUGGAGACAGGCACAGUCCCAGGCAGUAACAGGACAGGCUCAACUUUACCACAGAACAUACUUGAUAACAUACUUCACUGCUGUUCCUGCCCCUCAAGAACAGUCCUCUUGCUACCCUGCUUCAAGCUCAUCAGCACAUGUGGAGAAGUUCCUAUUCCUAGCACUGAUAAGAGAGGAGAGCAGAAAGGAAGAACAAGAAGAAACUUACACCUGAGAUUACUGCUAGGAAUCGUAUAAAACCUGCACUGGCUUUCAGUAAAGCAGAAAAUGGCAAGGACAGGAACAAGUAACAGACAAGAACAGGGAGUUAUUUUCAUAAGACCUAGGAGAUUUCAAAAUAUUUUUUUUUUGUUAGUGCUAAAAGAAAUAUUUGACUCAGAAUUAAUUUGUGAAAUGCUAUUUAGACGAAAAUUGCUUCUAAUCAAGCUUCGGGAAAAGUCAAUACAUUUCUGGAAGACCACAUAAGAGAUAAGAGUCUUUGAAUACAUUAUUUUUAAAUUGUUUUACACUUCAGAAUAUAUUGCAAGGUUGAAAUAUUGAUUAAUUAUGGAUGUGGGUAAAAUUUCAUUUUCUGCAGCUGGGACUCUUUUGUGCCCUAAUAAUAAUAUUUUUUCAAAACUGACAUUGUCUAAUAAAACCCUAUAAUUUAACUUUUUAACUGAAAUGCAGUGUAAUAUUUGUUGCUGAAGGAAGGAUUGGGCACAUCAUGCUUUCUUAAGAUGAUUGUAUAUAUGUUUAAUCUUCAAGCAAAUUUGAUAAAUUUGUGUAUAUGCACAUGGAUUUUCUGAUGCAAAGUUAAUGCAGACUGUUACUUAGGAAACAAAAGAUAAGAAAGAUAUAUAUUUCUCUUUUUAUUUUUUUUUAAUUACUGCUUUUGAAACAAAUUAAUUGGUUUCCAUGUGAAAGUGAGAGUCCAAAAUAUAUCUAUGUCAGAUCUGCUUGGCUGCCAGUUGCAGUUAACCCAGCAAGUUGCCAGUGCAGCUCUAAGUCUCUAAAAGUCCUUUCUCUCAGUACAAGUACUUUAGAGAAGGGCCCAACUAAUUAAUCUGAUACACAGAGCUCAACCUAAUAUUCAGUCUUGAAGCUGUAUGAAAUCUGACUAUGGUUGUUUGCAUUUGGCCUGUUAUACAGACUCACUUAUAUGAAGAAGAUACAGGGAUACAGGUGAGAGUUCUCCAGUCACAAUUUAAAUGUAAUGCAAUUUGUCUUUCUCUUUUCUGACGGUAUCAGAUUACAUGAGUAUGACGCCAGGGAAACUGAAGAAUUACUGCUGAUGCACAUGGUUGGGGCAUAUGUGUGGAUUCAGGACUGUAAUACCUAAGUGUACCUAAGUGUGGGAUCCAUAUACUUCAAUGGCAAAAUAGAAUACUUGUCCUUACUCUCUAUAAUGUAGGUCAAUAAACAUACUUUCUACUAUUUUACAACUUAUUUUCCAGUUUCAAG